UUUAUCAAGGGGGGCUGGAUUUUUCCGGCUGAGAUGAAGCUAAUCGAGGCUUCGGACCCUGGAACCUGAUCCGGGUAAUGCCGGCGUAGGAAACAGAGUAUCG
rnacentral:ncRNA from 1 species